rnacentral:rRNA from 1 species
AGAGUUUGAUCCUGGCUCAGAACGAACGCUGACGGCGUGCCUAACACAUGCAAGUCGAACGAGAAAGUCCCGGCUUGCCGGGAUGAGUAGAGUGGCGCACGGGUGAGUAACGCGUGGGUAAUCUGCCUUUAAGCUUGGGAUAACACUGCGAAAGCGGUGCUAAUACCGGAUAAGCUCACAGUUUGAGAUGUCUGUGAGAAAAGGUGGCCUCUGACAUAAGCUACCACUUAAAGAUGAGCCCGCGUACCAUUAGCUUGUUGGUGGGGUAAUGGCCUACCAAGGCUACGAUGGUUAGCUGGCCUGAGAGGGCGGCCAGCCACACUGGAACUGAGACACGGUCCAGACUCCUACGGGAGGCAGCAGUGGGGAAUAUUGCGCAAUGGGGGAAACCCUGACGCAGCGACGCCGUGUGAGUGAUGAAGGCUUUCGGGUCGUAAAGCUCUGUCGGAUGGGACGAAUAAGGGCUGUGUGAAUAAUGCAGUCCGAUGACGGUACCGUCGAAGGAAGCACCGGCUAACUCCGUGCCAGCAGCCGCGGUAAUACGGAGGGUGCAAGCGUUGUUCGGAAUUAUUGGGCGUAAAGAACGUGUAGGCGGGCCUGUGUGUCAGAUGUGAAAGCCCUCGGCUCAACCGAGGAAGUGCAUCUGAAACUGCAGGUCUUGAGUACGAGAGAGGAGAGUGGAAUUCCCAGUGUAGAGGUGAAAUUCAUAGAUAUUGGGAAGAACACCGGCGGCGAAAGCGGCUCUCUGGCUCGAUACUGACGCUGAGACGUGAAAGCGUGGGUAGCAAACAGGAUUAGAUACCCUGGUAGUCCACGCCGUAAACGAUGUGCACUAGGUGUUGGGGGUAAUAAAACCCUCAGUGCCGCAGCUAACGCAUUAAGUGCACCGCCUGGGGAUUACGGUCGCAAGAUUAAAACUCAAAGGAAUUGACGG